rnacentral:rRNA from 1 species
AUAAUCGUCGGAAACGGCGUCUAAUACCCCGUAUGAAGCUGGACGGCAUCGUCUGGUUUUGAAAGAAUAUCGGAGACGGAUGGGCAUGCGGCGCAUUAGCUAGUUGGCGGGGUAACGGCCCACCAAGGCGACGAUGCGUAGGGGUUCUGAGAGGAAGGUCCCCCACACUGGUACUGAGACACGGACCAGACUCCUACGGGAGGCAGCAGUGAGGAAUAUUGGUCAAUGGGCGAGAGCCUGAACCAGCCAAGUCGCGUGAGGGAGUACUGCCCUAUGGGUUGUAAACCUCUUUUGUCGGGGAGCAAAAGCCGGACGUGUCCGUCUGUGAGAGUACCCGAAGAAAAAGCAUCGGCUAACUCCGUGCCAGCAGCCGCGGUAAUACGGAGGAUGCGAGCGUUAUCCGGAUUUAUUGGGUUUAAAGGGUGCGCAGGCGGAUUUUUAAGUCAGCGGUCAAAUCGUGGGGCUCAACCCCAUCCAGCCGUUGAAACUGGGGAUCUAGAGUGUGCGAGAGGUAUGCGGAAUGCGUGGUGUAGCGGUGAAAUGCAUAGAUAUCACGCAGAACCCCGAUUGCGAAGGCAGCAUACCGGUGCACAACUGACGCUCAGGCACGAAAGCGUGGGUAUCGAACAGGAUUAGAUACCCUGGUAGUCCACGCAGUAAACGAUGAAUGCUACCUGUUUGGCCAGAUUGAAGGCUGAGCG